AUUGAACGCUGGCGGCAGGCCUAACACAUGCAAGUCGAGCGAGCGGCGGACGGGUGAGUAAUGUCUGGGAAACUUCCUGUUGUUGGUGGAUUACUCCUGGAAACGGUAGUCAAUACCCCAUACCAUCAGAUGUGCCCAGAUGGGCUUAGCUAGUAGGUGGGGUAACGGCUCACCUAGGCGACGAUCCCUAGCUGGUCUGCGGGGAUGACCAGCGACCCGUGAACUGAGACACGGGCCAGAGUCCUACGGGAGACAGCAGUGGGGAAUAGUGCACAAUGGGCGAAAGCCGGAGGCAGCCAUGCGGCGUGUGUGAAGAAGGACGUCGGGUUGUAAAGCACUUUCAGCGGGGAGGGGUUACCCGCAGAAGAAGCACCGGCUAACUCCGUGCCAGCAGCCGCGGUAAUUC
rnacentral:rRNA from 1 species